rfam:Merops nubicus contig31692, whole genome shotgun sequence.
UGCAGAUGAUGUUGUUCUCACGAUGGUCUUCCAAGCCUCAUGGUGAAGGGGCUUUGACGACGAUGCCGUACGGCUUGGCUGAUGCCUGGCA